rnacentral:rRNA from 1 species
GCAGUCGAGGGGCAGCGCGGGGUAGCAAUACUCUGGCGGCGACCGGCGGAAGGGUGCGUAACACGUGAGCGACUUGCCCGAUACAGGGAGAUAACCGGUGGAAACGCCGACUAAUAUCCCAUAGGACUUGAGGCUGCAUGGCCUUGAGUUGAAAGGUUCGCCGGUAUCGGAUAGGCUCGCGGGACAUUAGCUUGAUGGCGGGGCAACGGCCCACCAUGGCGACGAUGUCUAGGGGUUCUGAGAGGAAGACCCCCCACACUGGGACUGAGACACGGCCCAGACUCCUACGGGAGGCAGCAGUGAGGAAUAUUGGUCAAUGGGCGGAAGCCUGAACCAGCCAUGCCGCGUGAAGGACUAAGGCCCUAUGGGUCGUAAACUUCUUUAGACGCAGAGCAAUAAGGGCCUCGCGAGGUCCGAUGAGAGUAUGCGUAGAAUAAGCAUCGGCUAACUCCGUGCCAGCAGCCGCGGUAAUACGGGGGAUGCGAGCGUUAUCCGGAUUUAUUGGGUUUAAAGGGUGCGUAGGCGGCGAAUUAAGUCAGCGGUGAAAGACCGGGGCUCAACCCUGGA